UGGGGAAUAUUGCACAAUGGGCGCAAGCCUGAUGCAACCAUGCCGCGUGUGUGAAGAAGGCCUUCGGGUUGUAAAGCACUUUCAGCGAGGAGGAAGGUGGUGAACUUAAUACGUUCAUCAAUUGACGUUACUCGCAGAAGAAGCACCGGCUAACUCCGUGCCAGCAGCCGCGGUAAUACGGAGGAUGCAAGCGUUAAUCGGAAUUACUGGGCGUAAAGCGCACGCAGGCGGUUUGUUAAGUCAGAUGUGAAAUCCCCGGGCUCAACCUGGGAACUGCAUUUGAAACUGGCAAGCUAGAGUCUCGUAGAGGGGGGUAGAAUUCCAGGUGUAGCGGUGAAAUGCGUAGAGAUCUGGAGGAAUACCGGUGGCGAAGGCGGCCCCCUGGACGAAGACUGACGCUCAGGUGCGAAAGCGUGGGGAGCAAACAGGAUUAGAUACCCUGGUAGUCCACGCUGUAAACGAUGUCGAUUUGGAGGUUGU
rnacentral:rRNA from 1 species